rnacentral:rRNA from 1 species
GAUGAACGCUAGCUACAGGCUUAACACAUGCAAGUCGAGGGGUAACGAGAGGAAAGCUUGCUUUCCUUGUCGACGACCGGCGCACGGGUGAGUAACGCGUAUCCAACCUGCCCCCAACUAAGGAAUAACCUUGCGAAAGUAAGACUAAUACCUUAUAAUUUCCUCAGAUGUCAUCUGACGAGGAAUAAAGAUUUAUCGGUUGUGGAUGGGGAUGCGUCUGAUUAGCUUGUUGGCGGGGUAACGGCCCACCAAGGCAACGAUUAGUAGGGGUUCUGAGAGGAAGGCCCCCCACGUUGGAACUGAGACCCGGUCCAAAAUCCUACGGGAGGCAGCAGUGAGGAAUAUUGGUCAAUGGGCGAAAGCCUGAACCAGCCAAGUAGCGUGCAGGAUGACGGCCCUAUGGGUUGUAAACUGCUUUUAUACAGGAAUAAAGUUAGCCACGUGUGGUUAUUUGUAGGUACUGUAUGAAUAAGGACCGGCUAAUUCCGUGCCAGCCGCCGCGGUAA